rnacentral:SRP_RNA from 1 species
GCCGGGUGCGGUGGCGCGCGCCUGUAAUCCAAGUUACCGGGAGGCUAAGGCUGGCGGAUCGUUUGAGCUCAGGAGUUCUGAGCUGCAGCGGACUAUGCCGAUCGGGUGUCCGCACUAAGUUCGGUAUCGAUAUGGUGCUCCUGGGGGAGCCCGGGACCACCAGGUCGUCUAAGGAGGGGUGCACCGGCCCAGGCCGGAGACGGAGCAGGCCAAAGCCCCCGUGCCGCUCAGUAGUGGGAUCGCGCCUGUGAAUAGACGCUGUAGUGCAGCCUGAGUAAUACAGCGGGACCCAGUCUUUU